rnacentral:rRNA from 1 species
GACGAACGCUGGCGGCGUGCUUAACACAUGCAAGUCGAACGGGAUUUAGUAGACAGAAGCCUCGGCUAAAGAUUACUAAUGAGAGUGGCGAACGGGUGAGUAACGCGUGAGCAGCCUGCCUAUGACAGUGGGAUAGCCUCGGGAAACCGGGAUUAAUACCGCAUAAAAUCGUAGAAACACAUGUUUUAACGGUCAAAGAUUUAUCGAUCAUAGAUGGGCUCGCGUCUGAUUAGCUAGUUGGUGAGAUAACAGCCCACCAAGGCGACGAUCAGUAGCCGGUCUGAGAGGAUGAACGGCCACAUUGGAACUGAGACACGGUCCAAACUCCUACGGGAGGCAGCAGUGGGGAAUAUUGCACAAUGGGGGAAACCCUGAUGCAGCGACGCCGCGUGAACGAAGAAGGUAUUCGUAUCGUAAAGUUCUGUCCUAUGGGAAGAUAAUGACAGUACCAUAGAAGAAAGCUCCGGCUAAAUACGUG